UGACUCCCAACCGAAGGGACCGUUUCCUGGAAGACAAUGACUAAGCAGAAAUCGCGGCUGAGAAAGUGCUUGGACUUUGGAUUACACUGAGUGUUAUGUGUGUGGAGCAACCCUGCUUCAGAAAGUGCUUGAACUAGGAAGCCUGUCUGUGGACCAUAUAGAGAAGACCGCCUUGGCAAGGCACCGUUUGCUCUCCUCAUCCACAAGUCUCUUAAAAUGGUUUGGAUUAAAAACGAUUAUGUUCUGAUUCUUCGUGAGCUUUUCUGUGAGCAAUCAGAUGUCCUGUGAACCACUACCCCCUAACAUCCCUGCAGAAGAUGCACACGUCAGCACUGUGGAAGUGGCACAGCACUGUAUGAGUGAGGCAUCGACAUCUUUAAACAGUUACAUAGACAUACUGGAUCUCAUAUCCAACCGAGGAUCCACUCUCACCUGCCCUUGCCUCUUUGUCUCCUGUCCUAAUUACACCUAUGAGGUAGGCACUCAAUAAGCUGGGCAAGCAGACAGGAAACCUAGAUUCAGGUAAUACCCAGCUGACGAUGGAUAAUGUUUACAUGCAUUACCAGCUGGGUGUUUUCCUCAAACCCUCUAAAGCAGACUUGCCGUGGAACCUCAAGACCAGUCCAUUCACUUCCACCCCAGCGUUGCAGAAUCCUGCCGUGACUAGCACUUCUGGGACAACUCUCACAGAAGCUCACACAGAGACAGGAAGCUACGCAGGCACAAAGGAGGUCUAAAUACCAGAUGACGCACACCGGGGAGACGAGUGAAUUCAGUCUGUGAUAAGCACGUUUGCACUUUAUUUUCUCCUUAAAAAUCACACACACACACACACACACACACACACACAGAAGCAGAUCCAUUGAAAACGAGAGUGAUAUCCAGUCAGUGCCACUAAGAGGGUAGGCUGGGGUUCUACUUCUGCUGGCUGGAUGAAAAGGGUUUCACAUUUGUUUGACCGGGUCGGUUUUACCGUCAGGUGUUCCAGGUGAGCAAGUCAGUCUUGGUUUCUCUCUGAAAGAGUCCGCUUUGGAGUCCGCUGCCUGGCCUGCAUGUGUUUGUUUCUGCUGCUGAGCUGGUCUGGUCAGAUGACCACAUGGCAAAGGCUCCCGCAUUUCCAGCUGCCCGCGGUUUCUUUCCGGCCAUAGUGAAUGAGUGGUGUGGAGAUCAGACCUGUGGAGGAGGUCAGAUGGACUCUUGUCAUCCUGGAUUUUUGAAGAGAUGGCACAUUGGCUUUUAGACUUUAAAAGUUAAACAUCUGUCAAUCAAUUGCUGAAGGAAGCUCCGCUGAGGACAGUGGUUCUGUCAGAUCACCAACGUACGGGCCAUGCUUGUUUCCUUGUCUGCGAAAAGGUUGGACCAGAUGACCCCCAGGUCCCUCUGGCUCUACAGUGUAGACAUUACAAAGACUCAUGCCAUAUGUGUGCACAUGUUUACCUCUUAGAGGGAAGCUACACCCUCUGUGCAGUUUCCAAAGGCUGUCAUGGUAUCUUUUGGUUUGUUUUUAGCCUAAAAACGUUACCAUGCUCUUCUUGUCUUGAAAACCAAGAAUCAUAACUUAGGUAAUUCAUGAGGUACAGAAUUCCCUUUGUGUAGUUCCUACAGAGGUGGCUCCUAGGAAGCAUGAAAAUCUGACAGGGGCAUGGAAAGGUGGGAGAAAUUGAAGCUGGGGUUAGGAUAGCAGGCUCCAAAUCAAAGUCAGGCAUUACGUCCAGCUCCUAGAGAAUUGGACACCUUUUUAACUGCAGAGACAUGGUGUCUGGUUAGAAGGUACAGGUUGAACUCCUAUACCAGUUCUGGGGGGGGUGGGUGGGAGUGUCAGUAAGGAGGGGGUUGGAUGUAGGCCUACCCAAAUCUGGACAAAAUGUGGUUUAUUAAUUCUCUGGUUUAAAAAUCACACAUCCUCUUAAGAAGAUGAUUAAUCUAGUAUUAAGGGCUAAGAACAUGCUUUGAGGUAGGGCAAAGAUCCCAGUCAAGGUUGACAGUACUUCAGAAACUAAUUGAUAAGGAUAUGAGUUAUACAUGGAAACUCUUUAACAAUGUGUAAGAUUAAGGAUCAGACUCACCACCAGAAAAAAAAAAUCCAAUUAAAAAAUGGCCAGAGGACCUGAAAAGACAUUUUUCCAAAGAAGACAUACAAAUGGCCAUCAGACAUAUGAAAAGAUGCUCAACAUCACUCAACAUCAGGGAAAUACAAAUCAAAACCACAAUGAGAUGUCACCUUAUCCUAGUCAAAAUGGCUAGUAUC